rnacentral:lncRNA from 1 species
UCAGAGAUGCCUCCCUUCCUUGAAACUUCUUCACCUUUGCUUCAAGAGCACCACAGAGCAGAUUCUUCAAGGCAGGAAGACCAUCAGUGCCUCAAGAGCAGGACCUCGUGUUAGCCAUCACCUGGCUGUGAGCCCAGCGCAGGGCCUGGCACAUAAUUGGUACCCACAAAGUUUUAAAGACUUCAUAGUGACUGCUUCACAUCCAUUUGGAAGAAGACAGGAUUGAACUGGACACACCCACAUGAACUAGCUAUGUGACUUUAGCCGAGCCAUCUCCACUGGUAUUCCUCAGCUGGGAAACGAGGAGGGUGAAGCCGGCCUAGAAAAUC